rnacentral:rRNA from 1 species
UACAGAGGUCUCAAGCGUUGUUCGGAUUCAUUGGGCGUAAAGAGCUCGUAGGCGGUUCGUCGCGUCGGCUGUGAAAUCCCGAGGCUCAACCUCGGGUCUGCAGUCGAUACGGGCGGACUGGAGUUCGGCAGGGGAGACUGGAAUUCCUGGUGUAGCGGUGAAAUGCGCAGAUAUCAGGAGGAACACCGGUGGCGAAGGCGGGUCUCUGGGCCGAUACUGACGCUGAGGAGCGAAAGCGUGGGGGAGCGAACAGG